rnacentral:rRNA from 1 species
UACGUAGGGUGCAAGCGUUGUCCGGAAUUAUUGGGCGUAAAGAGCUCGUAGGCGGUCUGUCGCGUCGGCUGUGAAAACUCGGGGCUCAACUCCGAGCUUGCAGUCGAUACGGGCAGGCUAGAGUUCGGCAGGGGAGACUGGAAUUCCUGGUGUAGCGGUGAAAUGCGCAGAUAUCAGGAGGAACACCGGUGGCGAAGGCGGAUCUCUGGGCCGUAACUGACGCUGAGGAGCGAAAGCAUGGGGAGCGAACAGG